rnacentral:rRNA from 1 species
UACGGAGGGGGCUAGCGUUGUUCGGAAUUACUGGGCGUAAAGCGCACGUAGGCGGCUUUGUAAGUUAGAGGUGAAAGCCCGGGGCUCAACUCCGGAAUUGCCUUUAAGACUGCAUCGCUAGAAUUGUGGAGAGGUAAGUGGAAUUCCGAGUGUAGAGGUGAAACUCGUAGAUAUUCGGAAGAACACCAGUGGCGAAGGCGACUUACUGGACACAUAUUGACGCUGAGGUGCGAAAGCGUGGGGAGCAAACAGG